CCUACGGGAGGCAGCAGUGGGGAAUAUUGGACAAUGGGGGGAACCCUGAUCCAGCGACGCCGCGUGGGUGAAGAAGUAUUUCGGUAUGUAAAGCUCUAUCAGCAGGGAAGAAAAUGACGGUACCUGACUAAGAAGCCCCGGCUAACUACGUGCCAGCAGCCGCGGUAAUACGUAGGGGGCAAGCGUUAUCCGGAUUUACUGGGUGUAAAGGGAGCGUAGACGGUGCUGCAAGACUGAUGUGAAAGGUCGGGGCCCAACCCCGGGACUGCAUUUGAAACUGUUGAACUGGAGUGCAGGAGGGGGAAGCGGAAUUCCUAGUGUAGCGGUGAAAUGCGUAGAUAUUAGGAGGAACACCAGUGGCGAAGGCGGCUUGCUGGACUGUAACUGACGUUGAGGCUCGAAAGCGUGGGGAGCAAACAGGAUUAGAUACCCUGGUAGUC
rnacentral:rRNA from 1 species